ensembl:lncRNA
UGUUGGCUGGGGGGAAAUAGACUAGAAUAGAAUUUCAUCUACAGCGAUGACGUCAUUCCGAAAUCAACGAACAGUUAGGCUACUUUGUCGCGUGUGGUGGGGACACUUCGUGAGAAACUCCAGUAGCCUAUUCAGAUUCAAAGGUAUUGAUAUGGAGACAGACAAUGUUGAGGCUGCUCCCAGUCCUCAGCUCCUGUUUCUGGGACAGAAGUCCACUAAACGCCUGCUGGAGGUUUAUGUGAAACGCAGUCUCAGCCUCAACGAUUCUGCAGCCAGGGGGCAACGGGUCAAACCUCGAAAAUGGAUAAUAGUGGACAACAAAGGCAACCGCAUCAGGAAAGCAUCUAGUGACAGCUCAACACAUCGUCUGUCGCGUGAAAUAUCACAAACUGACCAACCUAAGGAGCCAAGUUCAGACACAACCAGUGACUCUCAUCAAACAGAAUCUAACCAAAGGGAAAGAAAGCCUGGGACUCAUAGAAUUACCAAAAAACCAUCUAUACUGAGGAGCUUUUUAAGACUGUUCUCCAGGAAGAAUUAUGAAGUUCCAAACAGUUCAGUGCCAGACACUCCUGUGUCCAGUGGGUCUUUGGACAGCUGCUUUGAAGCAGAGCUGUGUCCCCCUGUCCCUAAGAUGUCCAGCGAAGACAAGGAAGGUAACACACUGUGUCCAACGAAGUCCAUCAAGAAGAGGCUCUCACUGAAGAAGCUCUCCUUCAGAUCUGAUUCAGUCAAAAGACAUACCAGCCUUGCUACUGCUGAUGUGGUGCGAGUACCAGAUGCGAUUGUCUGUGUGGAGCCUUCAAACACAUACUUUGAGAAAGUAUCUGAGGAGUUGGAGCGCAUUGUGAAAGAGCUGAAAGAAAGCCCAACAGAGGAUGAGGCACAUUGUGCUGCAACGCUAACUGAUCAGAGGCCUGCUAAAGACUCAGAGGAUGACAUUGUUGAGAGGAUGGUCAAUAUACUAAAACAACAAGGAGAUGAGAUUGAUGAGAAGAUCAGGAGGAACAGUAGUAUGAGUUCCUUCUUUCAGAAGCUCACCUACAACAACUUCCAGCUACUUGCCGAUCGCUAUGUGGCUGACAUCCCUGAUCCGCUACCUCAGAGGACCGCCACUCCCCCACAGCUUGUGAAGCUGGCCUUCACUCUGGAUUUCACGGCCAAGGUGGCUGGACUAUCUAGCCAAGCCGUUGGCCGCAUCAUGGGGUUUGGGAACCAGUACAUACAAAACCGCUUUACCCAGAUGACAAGUGUCAAUUGCCAGGCAUCUCAGAACAUGGAGGAUCUCGACCUGGUGGAUUAAGACUAAAACUUGUGAAUCAUGAUACCAACUACCCUUCUACUGCAAUGCUCAUGCCUUUGGAUAUUGCCUGAUAUUUAGGUAUACAUAACAGAUGUGAAGGUGCCAAAUAGUCUCGGUGUGUCCUGAAAUGCUGUAUAAUAGCAUUUAGAUAUUACCUGAUAUUUAGGUAUGCAUUACAAAUGUGAAUGUGCCAAAUAGUUUUUGUGUUGUCAAAUACUGUUUUUACAGUUGCCUUGAUGUUGCCCUCUGUCAGGACUCCGGCCUGGAUUCCUGACCUUUGGCUUCCCUGAUGAAAAGUUUGUUCAUUGUUCUGUUAUGUUUUUGUUUUGGCUCUGUCAUGUGUUUCUGUUUACAUUUUGUCUGCCAUGUUGUUCCAUAUGUUCUUGUCUCCACCCCUAACCUGUCAUGUCACCUCUUGUCAUUGGUAGUUUCCCCCUAUUUGCUGUGGUUACCUGUGUCUCAUUGAGUGUCUCGUUAUGUGUCAUGUUGGUCUGUUGCUACUUGUUUUUGUUCCCGUUGGUGUAUUUGUUGGCGUUGACUUUUUUCUCCAUCAGCUCCUUAUGUUUGAUUUUGCCUCCAUGAUUUUUGUUACCUUGGAUUUACCUUUUUGUAAGUAAAUCUAACUUUUGUUCUAUUCCUGCCAUCCUGUGUCGUGCCUUUGGGUCCUCUCCCCUGUGAAACCGUGACACCCUCACCAUAAUUUUAUUACUUAAUGUUUAAUUGGGAAACAUGGGAAAAUAAUACUGAGGAUUGCUUUGAAAAACCAUGGAAUUUAAAAAGGUUAUCAAACAGGUUUGGACUAAUUCAGGGUGUAUUCCCAUGCCUUGUGUGUACAGCAUAUGCAAUAUUGUCCUGUGUUCAUAUAUUUCUAUUUAUGGUGGGAACAAUCUGGUCCUGUUCCCAGUCCUCAAAUUCUAGAUGGUGGGUAAACUACAAAAAACAGAGACACUGUUACAACGUUGUGAUGUUUUCAUGCAACACUUUUUUUAAACGUUUAAAAAAGUAUAUAGGAGAGCUAAUGUGUAUGUUAAAACACUCAUUCAGAUUAUUAUUGAGUGUCUUGUCACAGGCCAAACAUGUUGGCAAAACCGCCACAGUUUGUCUUCUGUUUUCCAAAUAUCGUAGAGAGGCAUGGAAAUAGAAAAUAGCAAUCAAUUACUAGAAAUCCCAAGUGUGAAGUGCCCAUUCCCAGUCAAGUGGUGAGGCAUUUUAGCACAGGAGACACAAAGAGGGGGUUUGUUGUCAUAAUGCAAAACUAGUGUCAUAGGACUUACCACACAGCCUGUUCUUAAUAUGAUCUGACACAGGCAAACAGUGUUAAGUGGAACUGUGACAUUCAAGCAAUUCAUUUAAGAGCAAAACAUCUUAUUUAGCCAAAUAUAACUUAGAAAAGGAUAACUGUUUGACUUCAAAACAGUGCACAAGAUCAUGUUUUAUUUUAUGACCAGAUUGCAUGUGCACAAUGCUAACUUAACCUGUAAAACUGUAUUAUGUGCAUCGUGUGUACCUAACCUACUGUAGCAAUACUCCUUUAUCACGUCAUAUACAAAUGUUUUCUCACACACUUCAGUCACCUGCAUAAAAUAAAGUACCAAUGUCACAUAAUUUAAAAUGUUGC